rnacentral:rRNA from 1 species
UACAGAGGUCCCGAGCGUUACUGAGAAUCACUGGGUUUAAAGGGUGCGUAGGUGGUCUGUUAAGUCCAUUGUGAAAUCCCCGGGCUCAACUCGGGAACUGCUUUGGAUACUGGCAGACUUGAGGCCAGUAGAGGUCACUGGAACUGACGGUGGAGCGGUGAAAUGCGUAGAUAUCGUCAGGAACGCCGGUGGUGAAGACGGGUGACUGGGCUGGUUCUGACACUGAGGCACGAAAGCGUGGGGAG